UACGGAGGGGGCUAGCGUUGUUCGGAAAUACUGGGCGUAAAGCGCACGUAGGCGGUGGAGUAAGUCAGAGGUGAAAUCCCAGGGCUCAACCCUGGAACUGCCUUUGAAACUGCUACACUAGAAUCAUGGAGAGGUCAGUGGAAUUCCGAGUGUAGAGGUGAAAUUCGUAGAUAUUCGGAAGAACACCAGUGGCGAAGGCGACUGACUGGACAUGUAUUGACGCUGAGGUGCGAAAGCCAGGGGAGCAAACGGG
rnacentral:rRNA from 1 species